GCCCUUGUAGCUCAGUGGUAGAGCACUCCCUUGGUAAGGGAGAGGUCACGUGUUCAAUCCACGUCAAGGGCACCA
rnacentral:tRNA from 1 species